GUCGAACGGUAAGGCCCUUUCGGGGGUACACGAGUGGCGAACGGGUGAGUAACACGUGGGUAAUCUGCCCUGCACUUCGGGAUAAGCCUGGGAAACCGGGUCUAAUACCGGAUAUGAGCUCCUGCCGCAUGGUGGGGGUUGGAAAGUUUUUCGGUGCAGGAUGAGUCCGCGGCCUAUCAGCUUGUUGGUGGGGUAAUGGCCUACCAAGGCGACGACGGGUAGCCGGCCUGAGAGGGUGAUCGGCCACACUGGGACUGAGACACGGCCCAGACUCCUACGGGAGGCAGCAGUGGGGAAUAUUGCACAAUGGGCGAAAGCCUGAUGCACCGACGCCGCGUGGGGGAUGACGGUCUUCGGAUUGUAAACUCCUUUCAGUAGGGACGAAGCGAAAGUGACGGUACCUGCAGAAGAAGCACCGGCCAACUACGUGCCAGCAGCCGCGGUAAUACGUAGGGUGCAAGCGUUGUCCGGAAUUACUGGGCGUAAAGAGCUCGUAGGCGGUUUGUCACGUCGUCUGUGAAAUCCUCCAGCUCAACUGGGGGCGUGCAGGCGAUACGGGCAGACUUGAGUACUACAGGGGAGACUGGAAUUCCUGGUGUAGCGGUGAAAUGCGCAGAUAUCAGAGGAAC
rnacentral:rRNA from 1 species